rnacentral:rRNA from 1 species
ACAAGCGGUGGAGUAUGUGGUUAAUUCGAUGCAACGCGAAGAACCUUACCUGGUCUUGACAUCCCGGAGACCCUUAGGAAACUAGGGGGUGCUUCCAUCUGGAAGAAUCUGGAGACAGGUGCUGCAUGGCUGUCGUCAGCUCGUGUCGUGAGAUGUUGGGUUAAGUCCCGCAACGAGCGCAACCCUUGCCUUUAGUUGCCAGCAGUUCGGCUGGGCACUCUAAAGGGACUGCCGGUGUUAAACCGGAGGAAGGUGGGGAUGACGUCAAGUCCUCAUGGCCUUUAUGACCAGGGCUACACACGUACUACAAUGGCCGAUACAAAGGGCAGCGACACUGUGAGGUGAAGCCAAUCCCGUAAAAUCGGUCUCAGUCCGGAUUGGAGUCUGCAACUCGACUCCAUGAAGUUGGAAUCGCUAGUAAUCGUGGAUCAGCAUGCCACGGUGAAUACGUUCCCGGGCCUU